UUUCAGUCCACAUUUAAACAUUCUUCCGCACUCUGCUCUUGCUCAUUUGCGAAGGAAGGGAGGCCUCGCAGCUUCACGCUCACGCAGUCAUCCACAGCGAUGUUGCGGAACAGAUAAGCCAUGGACUCUCCGUUGUGGAUGCGCCGGAUCGCCUCGGCCAGGAUCAUGCUCACGUCCACAGUUUUGAUUUUUGGACACUGCAGCUUCUGCACCUCGUGAGGAACGGUGUUGGUCACCACCACCUGGAGGGAGAACACAACAGCCUUGGUUUCAGCCUUUUGUCAUGCAGAUGGAGGCAUGACCGAGUCUGGGCCUCACGGGCAGCACGACAACUUCUCAUCUAUAUUCAUUUUGUAAAACUGGCAAAUAAAACCCAACCAUGGUCACAUUCUGA